UUUAAAUGUAAGAACCCAUGAUUAUUUAUUUUUUUUGUAUGUGUUUGAGUAUGUCUGGAGAACAAAUUUACAUGUGAGUUGCAGCUUUAUCGGUGUAAACUUGAUCAACCAACAAAAAUAAGAUAGGUAGAGUUUAUUAUUUUGUUAGGGACUGUCUGAUGGAGAGAUUGAGCGAGAUGCUGCUCUGAAUGGGAAAACUCGUCUCUCUUGGCAUCUUCACUCAGACAGGGGUGCUCCGAAAUUAGAAAAGAUAGAUAGCAGAUUCUUUUAGUUUAGAUAUUUAUUUUUAUUUUAUUUAUAUAUAUAUAUAUAUAUACAGUGUAGGCAUUGGUUGAUCAUGGGUACACUGAGAACCUGCCUUUGAGACUAGAAUUAAAGGAAAAGAAAUUUCAGAAUGAUUUGGAUCAUUUCAUGUUCUCUGCCAUUCCAAUCCGCUGAAGUUGUGCUCUUAAUAUCUGGUUUUCUGAUUUUUAUGUGCGGCAGCCUUGCCAAUAUUGUGAUGCUUUUUCCUUGGGUUUGAUCUUUGACCAAUCAUGCCAGAUAAAAUGGAAAAUAAAGUCCCAAACACCAAUAAGGAGGCAGAACUAAGCAAGUUUUCUUCUUUUGAAAGUGCAUAAAAUGGAAAAUGUUAUUCGUGCUAGAAGUUCUGAUUUUAAGAAUUAAGAAAUAUCUUUGAUGUAUUUGAUUGUAAAAAAUUAUUGAUAAUGCUAAGGAAAAAUUGGUCAUUGGAGGCAGGUGAAGCCCAUGGAGAAACGUUAAGAUUAAAUUGAACAUUGUAACUUCCUCAAUUAUUAAUGUUAAUAACUUCAUAUUCAUGCAUCUAUUCUGUGUGUGUCUUUGAAACUAUGUUUUACCCUUUCUUUUGUCAUCAUUAUGUUUAUGUUGUUUCACUAACUCAUUCUGGAACCAGUCUCUCACCAUUACAGAUGGCUGGGCCAGAUGAUUUAUUGAAGCUGCUAAUACUGCAGGAGGAAAUCUGGAGAAAAAGAAGACUGAAAAUGAUGUGGGCCUUUAUCCGAUUGGUCUUCCCGCUGUCAUUACUGCUGGAAGUCUUGUGCUGAAUGGUCAAUGAUGAACAAGUCCUCUUCCUUGUCCCUGACCAGUGGGGCAUCUUCAUUCUAACCAGUGGAGAUUGAACCAUAGUAAAGCCUCUCCAUCCCCUUUCACUUCCUCCUGCUCCUGCUCUUCUUCUCCUGAUUCAACUUCUGCUUCCUCCUCUGCUUCUUUUCUCCUGGCACGUCUCUUCUGAUGGCGCCAUCUCUCUUGAGGCUCGGGGUCAAAGUUGAAGAUGACUUUACCUUGGCGGCUCUCAAUUUCUCAGUCACACGCUGUCUCAUGGACGUCACUGAUUGGCUGGAGCCUGGUCUCACCGCAGGACGAGGAGGAAGAUCUAGAGAGGGUGUGAGAAUGAGAGUGUUAGGCUACUGUAUGUUUGGAAUGGGAUACUAGCUUACUACUUAAUGAAUAUUGCACAGCACUGCAACAACUAAAAAUAAAAAUAAAAAGUGCGCAUCAAGUGACAAUAUGCAUUAUUUCACAAUAAACAUUUCAAAUAGUAGUAUGCUACAUUGUUAUUACAUGGACUCACUAAGUUUAUUACAUAACACUGCAUGUUUAAUUCAGCAAGAGGCAACUAAUUAUCAUCUUGGAUAUGCUGUAUAAUUGUUUAUUUUCCAUCUAGUUGAGUAAAAUGUCUUAACAUCUGGCAUUUUAAUUAA